ACAACUCCAGCUGCAAGGAAACUUAAACACUUGCACUUCAACAACGCAUGAAGACACUUUACAGGAAUAUAUAUCCAUACAGAUAAACGAUUCAUCUUGGAUAGAUGCUGAUAUCCCCGCUGCUGGCUGUCUGUCUGUUGUAUGUAAACACGGGACUUUUAUUUUAUUUGCUAUUUUUGGGGGCUAGCCACUAGCCAGCCAUGCUAGUUAGCCUCCGACUGAUUACAAGAUAAACACAAAUUAACCAGCAAAAUAUCAUUAUUUUUCAUUUAUAUGUGGAUUUAUAACAAACAACAGAAUUCUUCUGUGUGAUGAUAACGUCAUAUAAUCGUAUUUGACAGCGUGUCGGUCGUUUUGUUUUUAUAUUGUACAUAUAUUUUAAUAUUAGCUCAUGCUAACAGCAUUACUAACAGGAGUUUUCAGGUGUUUUUGGAUAUUUGGAUAUGAUUUUUAGGAUAUAAAUCAUUAAAGAUGUUUAAGUCGGUGUUUAUAUGAAGCACUCUUUGUUCGGGAGAGGAAGAUGAUGGUGAUGAAGAUCAGCUGAUUAUAAACAGACACAUUUAGAAAAAUGCCCAGGAGAAAACAGUCCAAUCCACAACCUGUCAAAUUUGGAGCUGAAGAUGGUGUUGUGAUUGGCGAUCAGGAAAACCUCAUCCUGGAGAGUGAUUUCCUCCUUGGACAAGACCUGAGCUUUGGAGAAAAUGACUAUAGGAUCGUCGGUUUUGAAAGGGAUUCAGACUCCGUCAAUGCUGAAAUGGGGAUGCCGGAGUACACCUUCAGUGACGAGGACUGUCCCGGCUACAACCGACUGGGCAUGGAGAGCGAUUUCGAGGACCCUCGAGACACAGAGAGCGAGCGUGAAGAGAUCGGUCCUGACGCUAACUUCGCCCCCUACCUCUCAUGCAGACAAUGCGGCCAGCUCCUUGGCGACCCCUUGAGUGGGGCACUGGAUCUCGCAGGCCUGUUCUGCCUCCAGUGCGGGGCUGAGGGAGGAGACGCAGACCGCCAAGAUAAACCGUUAGAAGAGGCCCAUCCCACUCAUACCGUGCAAGGAAAAACCAAUGAAGCCAGGUCAACGUCAAAUGGAAAUCCUUGCAAGACCUACUCGUGCAAACUGUGCAGUUUCACCUCACGCUACUCCAAUCACUUGAAACGGCACUUGAAGACUCACAACGGCGAGAAACCGUACCAGUGCCAGCACUGUGCGUAUGCCUCCGCUCAGCUAGUCAACCUGCAGCGGCACAUGCGCACACACACGGGCGAGAAGCCGUACAAAUGCGAGUUCUGCACGUUUGCGUGCAAUUCCCUGGGUAACCUGAAGAGGCACCAGCGCAUGCACACUCAGGAGAAAUCGCUCAACUGCAAUCAAUGUGACUUCCGUGCGAACAACAGCCACUCGCUGAAGAAACACACAAUGAGCCACAAGCUGAAGAAAUCUACAGACUUAACAGAAGAGUCUGUGGUUUCUGGGCUUACUUUGCACAUCAACGCCGACCCUGACUUCCUCCAGAGCGAUGACAUCCUGCGAACUGAUUGCCACCCCACUGCCCUGCUGGACACUGAGGGCAUGGGCCAAGAAUCAGACUCUUUACCCGAGCUGCUGUUCCCCUUCACUUGUCGCGUGUGCGGCCUCGUGCUGGAGGACGAGGAGGGGGCUACGGCGCAAAUCUGCAGCAAAUGCACUGUCGACAUGCUGUCCAAAACGUCCCCUACCAGCCCGGAAAAAGGCGACAAGCUUUAUUCCUGUACCUCGUGCCCGUUCGUCACGCAGUACCCCAACCAUCUCGCCCGUCACAUGAAAACACACAGCGGCGAAAAACCCUACAAGUGCCCGCAAUGCAACUACGCGUCUGCCCACUUCGAUAACCUCAAACGGCACCACCGCAUGCACACAGGAGAAAAGCCGUACAAAUGCGGGGUGUGCGACUUCGCUUGCGGCAAUUUGGCCAAUCUGAAACGGCACGAGCACAUCCACUCGGGUGCGAAACCGUUCCAGUGCACCGUGUGCAGUUACAGCUGCAACCAGAGGAUGAACUUGAAACGCCACAUGCUACGACACACCGGUGAGAAGCCCUUCAAGUGCCAGGAUUGCAGAUACACCACCGGCCAUUGGGACAAUUACAAACGGCACCAAAAGAAGCACGGCCACUCGCCGGAAGGGUGGAUCAAGAUGCAGCUGGCAGAGGAAGAGGAGGAGGAAGGAGAGAUGUAGUGGAAUCUCUCGCUUUCGUUUGAUGUCUAACUCCAGUUGCCUUAUUAUUAUCUAAAACAUCCAUAUGGCAAAGGUGCAUAGUGACAUUGCGUUCUUUCAUAUUUGAUUGUAUACCAGUGUAGACAAACGGUUAUCUCAAAUUAAACUCAGAGCUUUAUGCACCUGUGGGAGAGUUUUUAACUUUAUGCACCUGUGGAUGAAUCUUAUGGAAGCAUGUCCAGGUGACAUUUCACCCCCAAGCAAAAAGAUUACAUUUUGCAUCAUUUAAUUUAAAAGCAAAAAAGUAUGAAAAAGCCAUUAAGAUUGUUUGCAUGGUGACAUUAUUUUUAUGAAAAUUGCAUUUCCCCUCAAACAUUUAAAUUUUGAGGUUUGUUUUUGUAUUGUUCACAAUUAGAUUUCUCAAUACUCCAAAAUAAGUCUAUUUUUACUGUAUUACUGUUUUAUUUAUAAAUAUAUAUUUAAUUGGCUUAUAUUGGAGGCAGCACAAAAAACACUAUCAUGAAAGAUUUUUUUUUUCCCAUGGAUUAUUUUUUACAUAACGGUAAAAAUAAUUUAGGGGAAAAUUUGCUUAUUUUAUGACAAUUAAGCAGAUUUUCCAUGAAAAUGAUCAUAACCAUUGUCAGGAGUUUUUCUGUAAUACAAUGAUUAAAAAAUAAAACCUAAUCUUAAAUUAAAGACACUAAAUGUACCAACAUAGAAUACUUCACAAUUUAGAAUUAUUUCUAUUUAUUUUUUUAUUUAUUAUUAUUUUCAGAUUAUGUUAAUUAGAUUAUGUUUUGAAUUAUAGUAAUAUGAGUUUGGGGAAAAUGCGCUUGCUUUAUGACAAUUAAGCAGAUUUUAAGCAGAUAUUACCGUAAUGUUUCCGGAUGUCCUGAAUCAGUUUCUUAUUCUUCCCAUUAUAUUCCUUUAUAAAAAUAAAUAAAUAAAUACACUGAUUUUUGUUUUCAGUUCAGCAUAAAUUAAAGACAUUACAACAAGUACUACUUUGAAAUAAAUGUAAUCUUUUUUUCUUCAAAUUUUAUUAAUGAGAUUCUUUAACAUUUAGGGGAGGGGGGUAUUACAAUUAAGCAAAUGUUCCCUGCAAACUCUAUCAAUGCAUCAGGAUAUUUUGGCGAUUUAAAAAAAAUAAUUAUAUUAAUAUUUUAUUUAACUGCAAUACGGUGGUUUUACUAUAAAUCAGUAUGAAUUAAAGGCGGUUCAACAAAUACUAGCACGGUCUAUAAAUACUUUUCAGGGUAUUUCUUUGCAUAACAGAAAUGCGAACGAGAUUAUUUGCGACGAUGAGAAUUCUUCAAGGGAAAUUUGCUUAAAGUAAUGCACAAAAUAUGCAAAACGUAAUAUCUUUUGACUUUUGGGUGAAAUAUGUCUUGGACAUGUUCGUAUAAGGGGAGAUUCACUCCUCUGCUGUCAUGGAUUCUCGUUGAAUUACUGAAUGAAAGAGAAAACUGCAAUAAACACAAAGAAUCGGCCCUUAUCCUGAUACAGCAGCUGUAGUUUGUGUUUUAUUCUGUAUGAUGAUGGAUUGAAUUGCACUGAACAUGUCUGCUGGCUGCUAUAUUACCUUUUUACCUUUAUUACAGAAUCUCAAUGAUGUUGCCUUUUAUUGCGGAGAUGAUGUACCUCAUUUCCCUCCAAUACUGUAUGUACAUUUUUGGGUGCCACUACAAAACACUGCACUGUUACAGGGGCAUUAUUGAGGGACAAUUAAAGGUGAAUCACUACAGUUAUAUCCAUACAAUGGUCAAGAACAUGUCCCGUUAUAUUUCAGCCCAAAAUAUAUUUGCAUUGAUAAAAUAAAGCCUGAAUAUCUGACCAUUACAAUUUCUUAACACAUUAAAUGUCAAAAUGUUCAAUGCAAUGAAAACAAAAUUGACAUUCUCGUUACUUUAAUCACUAUAUAUAUAUAUAUAUAGUGAAGUACUCCUAAAAGUAGACAUCAUUGCAUAAUGGUAGUUUUUGUUGUACUGAAUUUAAUGUAUGCUGAUUUUGAUUUUAAAAAUAUAGUAUUGCAGUUGUGUAGUAACAGGAAUUAUGGUGUGUGUGUGUGUGUUUCGCAUUAUAGUAAUGAGAAUAUGGGGUUAAAAUGCUGAAUUAUCAUGGAAAUAAUGUCAAAAUCUAAAGCAAAUAAUGCCACCCCAAAAAAAUGGUUCAAUCAAAAUUAUGCAUAAUAUAAAUAUUUGUUCUCAUGUAUUUGGGGUGUAAUAUGACCUGCAUAUGUUGUGAGAUUCCCCCGUGUGUGUCUGUGUGUGUGUCUGUCUGUGUGUGUGUGUGUGUGUGUGUGUGUGUGUCUGUCUGUCUGAGUGUCUGUGUGUCUGUCUGUCUCUUUCUGUGUGUGUGUGUGUCUGUCUGAGUGUCUGUGUGUGUGUGUGUGUGUCUGUGUGUGUGUCUGUGUGUGUGUGUGUGUGUGUGUGUGUGUGUCUGUCUUUGUGUGUGUGUGUGUCUGUGUGUGUGUGUGUCUGUCUUUCUGUGUGUGUGUGUCUGUCUGAGUGUCUGUGUGUGUGUGUCUGUCUUUGUGUGUGUCUGUCUUUGUGUGUGUGUGUGUUUGUGUGUGUGUGUGUGUGUCUGUCUUUGUGUGUGUGUGUGUCUGUGUGUGUGUGUCUGUGUGUCUGUCUGAGUGUCUGUCUUUCUGUGUGUGUGUGUGUGUGUGUGUGUCUGUGUGUGUGUGUCUGUGUGUCUGUCUGAGUGUCUGUGUGUGUGUCUGUCUUUCUGUGUGUGUGUGUGUGUGUCUGUCUUUGUGUGUGUGUGUGUGUGUGUGUCUGUCUUUGUGUGUGUGUGUGUGUGUGUCUGAGUGUGUGUGUGUCUGUCUGAGUGUCUGUGUGUGUGUGUCUGUCUGAGUGUCUGUGUGUGUGUGUCUGUCUGAGUGUCUGUGUGUGUGUGUGUGUGUGUGUGUGUCUGUCUGAGUGUCUGUGUGUGUGUGUCUGUCUGAGUGUCUGUGUGUGUGUGUGUUUGUCUCUCUCUGUGUGUGUGUGUGUCUGUCUUUCUGUGUGUCUGUCUGAGUGUCUGUGUGUGUGUGUUUGUGUGUGUCUUUGUUUGACUUUCAAAUGAAAUGACCUAUAGUUUAAUUCAUAUUAAAGUGUGUUAUCUGCUGUAAAAUCUUCUCCUUGCAACGUAACCUUAUGAAAACCAGUGAAGGUUUAAAUUUCACACAUAUUUGUUUUCUAUUUAUUUUAGUUUCAGCUGUGCAAACCAGUUCAUUAAGACAAAGGUAGGCAGAGAGCACACUUUAAAAUUAAACUCUUUAUUGAAACGGAUGUGAGCAAAGAGCAUUUUUGUUCAUAGAUCACAAAAAAAAGAAACAUCAUUGUACACGCAUGUCAUUUUAAUGCAGAUUGGUCAGAUUUCAUUCUGUUACAGAGAACCGAAUAUACACAUCAGGAACAAACAGUUCAGUGCAAUCAGGGAGUAAAUCAGUUACAUGCACAGCACUGAAUACAUGAUGUUUGCCAUAUGAUGUAAUAUCUUUAUGUACUGUAUUUUUGUGGGUUUCGUUAGCUUUCUGAUAUUUGUACAUAAAUUGUUUAUCCGAAUAACUGUCAAGUGGCCUUUGGUUUUCAUAAUAAAGAUGUUUUUAGCUUUUUAUUAAAAAGCAGAUGCAGAGUGUAAUUUUAUUUGAAGAAGAGGACAAUUUUAUAAAUGUUUAUACAACAGCUAGAUCCCUGCUGACAUUUUGGAAAAUGGCACUCUUGCUAAUGUGAUAUUGAUAUAGUCUUAUUAAGUUAUUAUAAAGUAAGCUUCAGACACAAACUUUUGUUUACAAGCAUUUUCCAGUGUUUUCCUGUAGAGAGCAGAAUAGAGCUUUUACAGAGACUUUAAAUAUGUUUUUAUUGAUGUUAAAUAGGAUUGCUAACAUGCACAUCUGUGGAUGAAGAAUGUCAUUUUGACAGGGAACAUUUGGAUCUCUCUUGAGGGAAGGAUGUUUAGAAGCAGUCCACUGGUAUGUUGUCUCAUGAUGCUGGCUGAAUUCACGGCGCAGUAGCUGGUUGAAAGGGACCAAACCUCUCUGAAACACCUGACUUGGUUCCGUUUUACCAGCAACUAAGACGUGUUUCUGCAUGGUUGCUUGUCUACUAAAUCAUCCUAUUUAUAGAGCUAUGAAAUCAGACAUCAGAAGACUACAGAGGACAGUUCGGACUGCUGAGAGGAUUAUUGGUUGUUCUUAUAAGAUUAAUGGCACUUCCAAAGUUAGGAAAAGGGCUGGAAAAAUCCACACGUGUCCAGCCCACUACCUCUUUGAACAGUUGUCUGCUGGCCGACGCUACAGAGCACCAGGACCGUCAGGCACAAGAACAGGUUUUUCCCUCAGGCGAUCCAUCUCAUGAACUGUUAAAACUGCCCCAUUGAGCAAUAACCAUGUGUAAUACACAGCUUAGUGUAUUUAUAUUUAUCCAACAUAUCCUACCUCUU